GAACGGGUGAGUAACACGUAGGUAAUCUACCCAUAUAUCGGGGAUAACACUUCUAACGAGGUGCUAAUACCGGAUGACGCACUUAUUUGAUUUUUAAGUGUUAAAGAUGGCUUCGGUUAUUGUCUAUGGAUGAGCCUGCGGCCCAUUAGCUAGUUGGCAGGGUAAAAGCCUACCAAGGCGACGAUGGGUAGCCGGCCUGAGAGGGUGUCCGGCCACACUGGGACUGAGAUACGGCCCAGACUCCUACGGGAGGCAGCAGUAAGGAAUAUUGCGCAAUGGUCGCAAGACUGACGCAGCAACGCCGCGUGGGUGAUGAAGUUCUAAGGAACGUAAAGCCCUGUUAGAAGGGACGAAUCGUAUGAAACUAACAUUUCAUAUCUGACGGUACCUUCAGAGAAAGCCCCGGCUAACUCCGUGCCAGCAGCCGCGGUAAUACGGGGGGGGCAAGCGUUGUCCGGAAUCACUGGGCGUAAAGGGCGUGUAGGUGGGAUAAUAAGUUAGGGGUGAAAACUAGCAGCUUAACUGUUAGCUUGCCUUUAAGACUGUUGUCCUUGAGUUC
rnacentral:rRNA from 1 species